CAGCUAUUAUCAGUGUGGAGCUUCGAAAACAUGGUAUGCGAUUUGAGGAAAAGCUGCUGCAGAUUUUGGGAAAGUGAGAUUAUGCCUGAAGCACCGGGUGUUUGAAGUAUGUCAAGCUGAUCUUCAGAACGAUGAGGACCAGGCCUACAGGAAGAUUAUGCCUGAACCAUUUGUCGUUUCUCCUUUGGCCCCGUCUAUUCUUGUCCCAUCUCUUUGCUACACACUUUUUUAGAUUGCAAGUUUCUGCAUGUACUAGUGCUGGCUAUUCUAAGGAAAUUGCUUGUUCGCAUCGUCAAAGAACGCUAGUUGGUACUUUUACCCAAACGAAUGUUUCUGAACUUUUUCUGUGGUUGUGCUCAAUUUAUCCCAUGACUGUAAAAAGAAGUGUAGCACGCCGAAACACAGUAAGAGGAUGUGAUAAGAAAAUUGUUCAGUUGUUUUCUACUCGUA